UUGUCUAAGGAGGGGGUCAGCCAAAGGACCAACUGAUGGAUUACAGACAUCAAUCACAUCACAGGAGACAAGUCUGUUUGAUCUUAGACAACCAUAUGAAGAGAAGGCGACCAGAACAGCUGGGCACCCUAAAGCUAAAGGAGAUGAAAGACACAUACAAAAGACACACAGAGUUAAUUACAGAGAUAAAGCAAGCUUAUAGCAUAGAGGAAUGUAUAGUAUUUUUAGUAUAGCUGAGCAUGCUAAAAACAGAAGAGACACAUAGUCUGCUGACCCUAGAUAACACACAAACAGGAGAACGCAUUAAGCUGAGUGAAGGGUCAAAGCAAGGGUCUUGUCACCAUUAGGAUCUAAUGGAAAGCAGAUGGGGGCGUUAUUGGGCUGAACAAGCAGGAAGCAUGGAUUGGGAUGUAACUUAAUUUGCAUAUGGGAGGGACUUAUAUGGUAGGUGUAUAACUCAGGGCGAGGGCUCUGAAAAAGGGUGUGUGUUUCGCGGACCGCUCCGGCUUAUGAUACUGUUGUAUUAAAAGUCUAUAUUGAUUUUCACAAAGUUCUUGGAUGUGUCAUUUUUGAACCGAUUUGCCACCACAGACUUGGCGAGCUUUGCCAGGAGAGUCAGGGACUGAAAAACGUUCUUGGCUGGCAGCGGGAUCUUUGGACGAUCUGGGCAAACAAGGGUGGCCACCCAGCUAAGGUAAGACAACAGUGAAAUGUUUGCGUAGAUCGCUUCAGAGAUCCUGCCUCAGCAAGAGGAGCGUCAAGUAGGUCUCUCUCUCUAAAAUUUCCUAAAAAUUAUAGAAACGAAAGAACUUUUUGAAAUUCAAUGAAUUUGCAUGCAUGUGUGUAAGCUUGGGAAUUGUAUAAUGAAUGUGCAUGCAUGUUUAGUGAGUGAGUAGGCGGGGGCUGUGAACGGUGUCAGGUGUGUUAUUCGGCAUGUUGGGCACAGGGCUGCAACUACCUGCUUAUAAGGUCUGAAUAAAUUAAGUAAUUAUAGAAAUCCUACGAUACCGCUUCAAAAUAUUUAGCUGAAGGACUGUAUGGGUAGGCUACUUUAUUGAUAAGUAGAUAGGGAAAUAUUCAUGGCUACCGCUUCAAGGAAAAGGUCUGUACGGAUGAGUAUUUAGUAAAUAAAUACACAUGGCUACCGCUUUAAAAUGAAGGACUGUACGGGUGAAUAUUUAAAACACAGAAAGAACGCUGGCCUGAUUGUGCGACGUUCAACUGAAAAAGGAAAUCCUGCGAAUACAAAACGCUCCGUCUAGCUAAACGGGGGUUUAUAAAUCAGUAGGUCGCGCCACGAUAUUGCUCUAACGUAGAAUAAAGAUCAAUACGGGGUGGAUGAAUAGGAUAUGAAGACAAGCUGAUCCGAUUAGACAGUAGUCUCGUCAUGUCGUAAAAAUCCUAUAGGAUAAUACCAGUUUAUGUAGAGGAAGUGUAUUAAGCUAGGGGAUAAACUAUAGGUCGUUUUUAGGUAAAAACGAAGGGAAUGCGUGAAAAAUCCUAUAGGAUAAUACCAGCUUAUGUUGAGGAAGUGAAUUAAGUUAGGUAAUAAACUAUUUCGUUUUUAGGUAAAAACGAAGGGAUUGAAUGAAUGCUAUAAUAUAAUUCUUUGUGAUGAAUGAGCAGAUUAGAAAGAAGAGGAAGAACAGGCUGUGUGUCUGUGACCAACUGGGAAUGCACGGGCCUCUCUGACAGUUAACUAAGUGUAAUUUGAGAAAGAGUGCGCAUUUAACUCUCAAUGCGAAGUAGGAAGAAAUAACUUAAAAAUAUACAGAUUAAAAUAUACUGGUUAAAAUAAAUCUAGGCGGUUAAGAAUAAAGUGAGAAAAGUGCAUGAAAAUAGAAGUCUAGAAUACAUAUUAAAAAUAUCACGAGCCCCGUAAACGAAAUAGGAGGCUGCAAUUUAAAAAUAGCCUCAGGAAUUAAACAGUAAAAUAGGCUAAGAGAGAAAAUAGCAAGCGGAUAAAUAGAGAGAUAAGAAAGUGCAUUACAUUAUAAAUAAGCUGUAUUAGAAGGAAAAUUAUAUGAAAUAGGAUUUAAUACACUGAAUAAAGUUAAAGUAAUAGUAUAAGCAAAGAUAAAAACACAGUGAUAUUUGAGGUGCUGUACUAGAAUAAGACAUGAAGGCUUCUGUAAAAUUCAGUAAUACAGUUGUAGACAUUAUAGAAUAGGUUUUACUAGGGGUAUUAAGUGAUGUGACUAAUAAAUUAUUAUUUGAGAAAGUAGGGUAGAUCUGCCUUGGGAAAUAGUAAAUAAAGUGUAUAAUGCGAUGGGAGUGUUUAGGGAAAAUAAAUAGUAUCAUGGAAACAAACGGAUUGUUUCUUCCUGGAAUAUAGGGAUAGCGAAAUGUAAUAAAGCCAUAGAGACGCUGAAAGACGCGAACGUUAAUUCUGCCAAUUCAAUUUGAAUAUGAAGGAGCAAACCAGAUAAUGUAGGGUAACAUUGCCCGGUAAACAGGAAUGAAUUGGAACAAUCACAUAAAACCAUAACAAAAAGUUUAACUUACCAGCGUUUUAAUGUUAAUUAACAUUCUAUCAUCAGAAAUGCAUUACGAUGGGGGAAGGGUGGGGGAAAAAUUUGUGUAAGAUGACACUGGAAUGCGGUAGCACCCUUUUCAAAAGAACAGCGGCUGAUCGUUCUAAGGUAAGUAUGAAUGGAGUUUUCUCCAAGCGGUGUAUAGUCUCUGAUUGAUCAAAAAGUGGUUCAUAGAGAGUACAGUUUAUAUGUGAUAAAAUACGUACUAGAUCACGUUUUACCUAACUUCUAGUAAGGUACCGAUGUAAUUUACAAAUAGCCUCACUUGGAGUCGUUUUGUAUUAAAAUGGCGGUUACAAUGGUGAUUGAAUGCGUGGAGGAAGUUGUUGUUAGCAGCGUCAAAAUACGGAGAAUAAACGUAUAUGAAGGAUUGCAGAACGUGGUGAAGGUGGUUGGAAGAAGAGCAAAUUGUAGUGUAUGGGUGUUUUCAGUUUCUAAGGGUAGGAUACAGAUGGCCGAGCAGGGAGGAAUUGUGCGUUCUGUGCAUGGCUGGAGCUUCUGUCGCAUGCUCGGGAAAAGUGAGGGAAUUUUAGUAUGUGUAAUACUAUUAUUGGCUUGAUGAUUUAAAGGGUAAUAUUGUGAAUGUUAACGACAUGUACAUUUCUUUUCCAGAAGAAAAGGGGUUACAUUUUCAAUGGUUUAUUCAAUUCAGUUUUAGACUGGGUAUGCAGAAGGAUGGAAGUGCUUUUGAAAGUGUGGUUAAGAUGUUUCUAAAGAAAAGAGAGUGAAAACAUUUGAAUGGUGUCAAAUGCCCUGAACCCUAAUAAUUUCCUGUGAAAACUGAUCAACUUCACUAGAAAUUGUUGGAACAGGUGGGAUUGAAUUAUAAAAUGAUUGAGCAACACCAUUCUAUAUUCAAAGUGUACCAUCACUUUGUAAUUCUAUUUUGUCCUUGGGGAAAAAGAUGAAGAGGUAAUCUUGAAUUGACUAGUUAUUCAAAUAGGUUUAUUUUUAUUAAACAUGGGUUCAUAGGAGAGAUUAUCAGUUCCCUGGGGUUAUGGUCUUUGGGUAAAUACAAAAUGUGCAUUGUUCAUUCUACAUAUAAAAUGGAAAUAUAUGUAAACAAGGGAUAACAGUUACUCCAAAUAGGUUAUUGGAGCGGGAGUUUCUGCAAGGGUUAUGUUGAUAACUACAUAAUCUGUAGCUCAUCUGAGAGAUUGCCAGUAGAAUAAGGGAGUUAUCAUGGAAAUGUAAUGUCAGAAUGCAUUAGUCUCUCCCAAGCAUUAUCAUCACACCAAGUGUGUGUGAAACUCAAACCCACCCUACUGGCUGAAUAGUGUGGGACAACUGUGUCUGAUGACCUGUGAACUGUCUCUGGAGUGCUAUGUACUGGGAGAAGAAAGACUAAAGGGGAUAAUGACCUUUUGUUACCAGGCUGCUCAUGACAGAAAAACAGAGGCAAAAGGGCGCAUGAUAAAAUAGAUGUUACUGGUACUAAAAGUUUUUAGUAUAAAGUUAAUAUUAAAGGGAUGAUGUAUUAUAUAGGUAAAAUUUGAGUUAAAGUAAACACUAAGGACUGUUAUCCUGAAUAUUGGAUUGGAUAAUUUAUAAACAACACUUAGUUAUGUUUUGAAUAUGGGAAAACUCUGUAAACUAAUCCUGAGACAGGUUGGUUGACAGAACUUGCAGAAUAUUAAAUUAAAGGUUUUUGUUUCUUUUAUUUUACAAUAUCAUUGUAAUUGGAGUGAUACAUUGGAAUGACAUAAGUAAUUGAAUAAAAAGUAUAGUCUGUUGUGUGAUAACACCCAAGGAUGAAGGAGACAUUACAAAUAGUGGUAAUUUAUUGCAAAUAUGCAGUUAUUAUAAUUUACUUUACUAUUUUUCUAGUUUGGUCAAUUUAUUUUUGUUUUGAGGAAAAUAAGAGUAUUUUUCUGAGAGGAGACUGAUAUAAAUUGACUGUGUUAUGGUAACAAAGGGGGGGUGUUAUUUCUAGAAACAAUGUAUAUUAAUAGACAAGAUAAUUCACAGAAAAGGAAGGACAGUUGGUCUUGUAAGGGUAUAGGGACAAUUCUAAAAAUAAAUAGAACAUUACACACACCUCGAUUAUGGUAAAAGUAAUAAGUAGGGGCAUUUUGAAGAAGCUUAGGACUUAGUUUUGUUAGGAUUGGAUAUUCUUUCAACUAGAAAACAUGCAAUUCUUACAGCAGUUGCUGUAGGGACCAUAAUUUGGCUAUCAUUAUGAAUAUUUUUGUGACAAGAGGCCAGGUAUUUGAGACAGACUGUUUACAUAACAGAAUGUUUACAUAGGGCCGUUAUUUAAGAAAGUCUGUUGUCAGGAAAUAACCCAAAGUGUUAGUAAUAUGUUCCCAGGAAAAGAGCACAUAAGACGCCAGAUGGAAGGGCAUGGGCUGAAUUCUGGAGACUGAGUGUACAUCAAGAUACACUGGGCUGGGGAUAUACUUCUUACAGUACCUGCAGUGUCUUUUGUUUAGGAAACCAGAUGGAGAAGGGUUCUCCAGCUUCAGCUGGAAUGUCAGUUUGUGUGAUGAGUGAUGGAAGUAAGAGAAUGUAUGGUGUAAUCGUAGAACAGAGGCCAUAAGUCUUUAAGUAUGAAUGCCCCACAGAAAGAAGGCAGAAACCUGAACCAGGACGAGAGGUUCCACAUCUGAUGAUCCAAGGAGACCAGAAGGACCUCUCCCAGUGAUACCAGGAGACGGUCGAGUGUUCGGAAGGAAGUGGGAUCAGCCGAGGAGGGAAGGACCCUACGAGGUGGCAACGGCCACAAACACGGCCGUCCAAGUGAAAGGAAGCAAGACGUGGUAUCAUCUAAACCACUGCACCCGAAUCCCGACGGAGAGAAGGACUCAAGAAAAUGGCAGACCAAAUACAAAGAGUGCAUCAGCUAACACACUCCGAAGAAGCACAAGGGGAAAAGAGCCUGAAAAGAAAAGAGACAAACGACCAAAGUUUCCUCCAGUAUGGCCAGAAAGCCCAGAAGUGGGAGGGGGUAACAUGUCUGCCACUCCUGAUGAUAUACCUGUUGGGGCAGGCCUCUUUGACAGAAGCCCUCUACAGAGGGGCUCCGAGUUAUUGCCUAAUGAAUGGGAACAUCUCUUCCCUGAAAUGGACACCUUCCAAAUGGAAGCCCAGUCCGGCCUGAGGAGGGAGCUUCAGGGGAGGAAAGAAGGAGAGACCCCACUAACGAGAAGGAAAAGUCGAGUGAGCUGAAGAAAAUGGCAAUUUCCCCAAAAAUUUACUUUUCAGCUCUUGAAUUGUCUCCAUAAUGAACAAUUGAAGUUAGAACAACAGAAGAACAAUGACAUAGACAUAACAGAAGUAACAGUGAACACUAGUAUAACAACAACAGACUCACGCACAAUCAAGAUGUAGGGUGGAAACAGGAAGAGAAGAGAGGGACCAGUCAAACAAUCUAAAAAGACUGACAAGGUUAGAAUCUUUGUUCCACCUCAACAUAUAACUGAAACAGGAAAACAGAAGACAAAAGGAUCAAACCCUUACCGGAGAUUGCAUUCGUGGAUGGACAUAUCAUCAAAAGAAGAGAGAAGUCAUUUGGGACUCAAAAGGAUGUGACCUGACGUUAACCAAAGAAGUGGACGAGUGGGUGCUCACCAUGAAUCAGAUUGAACCAGUUGAAGGUGAAAUAUUAAUAGUUGGAAAUAAUGAGAACAAGAUUGACUGAAGGGAGUAGUUCCUCACUCAUUCAGAAUUGGUCUUACGCCAAUACUUAAACAGGAAGAGCCUGUGGUAGCUAGAAAGCAUCAGAACCAGGAGGGUUCUUUGUUGACAUUUGGAGGGAAAAAAAUGUUCAAACUCUAAUGACCCACCUCAUGACAAGAACAUUGCCAAGAUGACAGAUAUAGAUGUAUCAGAUUCAGAAUCGUUCAAGGACACCACACAGGAAGAAGAGGUGAAAAAUGAAUGGUACAAAUGGGCUAGGUAUACAGCAAACAAGCACAGAAUGGACAAUUGUAUAUUGUGUAGUAAAUCACCUUUGUCGGAUCUCAUGAUAGUUCCUGAACCAGCAUCAUUUAAAGACUGUGCAAAUUGGAAAAAUUAUCAUUGUACCAACAGAAAGUAUUCUAUUCCCUUGUGUGACAUAGAAUGUAGGAUUGCCCAAGGGAGCACUAGAGGAAGGACUGUGUUGAACAACACUGGGUUGGGUGACAAGGAUUGUGCUGUCUAUAACAUUUGAACUGAAUGAAAUGGACCUUUGUUAGAUGGAAACACUGUGAUUAAAGGUAAAUGUGAAUGUUUUUACAGCCAUAACACCGAAGGUAUUUAUGUAGGAAACACCACUGUGGAAUGUGAUACUAUUUGGGUACUAGAGACUGCAGGAGUUGGUGAGGAAUAGAAAAGGGUUGUGUGGUAAAAUAACUCAGGUUGCGCCACCUCUUAUUAUGCUAAACAAUCAAGACAGGGGUAUUGCGGAUAGUUUCUGGAUGUGUGGAAAUAACAAACUGUUGAAUGUACUGCCAGAUGGGUGGACGGGUCUUUGUACCUUAGUUAGAGCAAUUCAACAGGUUACCAUUAUUGAAUCACCCCAUGAUGACUGUGUUAACUAUAGAGUUAAGAGGGCGUAUGAGAAAGACACUGAGGUAUACCUUGAUGUAAUUGGACAGCCUAGAGGGGUACCUCAGGAGUUCAAGGCAAGAGAUGAAGUUAAAUCUGUAUUUGAAUCUAUAUUUUUGUGGAUAACACCAAAUAAGAACUUAGAGUGGAUUAAUUAUAUAUACUAUAACCAACAGAGAUUCAUUAACUAUACUGACUCGGCUCUAACGGCGUUGGGGGAACAGGUACAGGAUACCAGUAAAAUGUCUUGGCAAAAUAGACAGGCUCUCAAUUGGCUUUUGGCAGAGAAGGGUGGAGUUUGUUAUGUUCGGGGAUGAUUGUUGCACCUUUAUUCCCAAUAACACUGCGCCUAAUGGAUUCUUUGCAAUCACUAUGGCUAAACUUAAAGGGUUAAGAGAAGAGGUUAAGGAAAAUGCUGGGGUGGACUCUCAUGUUUGGGAUUGGUUGGACUUAGCAUUGGGGAAAUGGGGAGCCAUGUUUGCUAGGAUGGCCUUUAUGCUGGGAGGGGGUUAUUGGCUCUGGGUAUUGUAUUUUGUUGUGUUUUACCCUGGGUGAAAUCACUUGUGAUCCAGACAACGAUUAAACAGAUGUUUGUAAGUAGAGCUGACACUCCGGUGAUAGUUGAUCCUGUGCCGGGUAGGCCAGGCCACUAUACUGAUGGAAAUGGACAGUUAUGCAAUGUGGUUGGUGGACCCCUUGACUGCUCUUUUGGUAAUCCAAACUGCCUGUAUGGAGUGGUCUCUGGAGGUGGUUACAACUUGCCAGGGUUUUCAUAAGGAUGGUUUACAUGUAUAUGCUGACAUUCCAAAUUCAUAGGACAGUCAACUGAUACAUAUCCACAAAAAGGGUAUUUUUCAUAGUAAAUACAGGGGUACUAUGUAUGGUUUUAAUAUUUAUAUUUUGCUUGUGGUCUUGUGUUUUAGUAUGUUUUGUUGAAUGUUUUUGAUAGGUAUAUCAAUGACUAUUUCUUUUAAUUAGAAGUUGGUUUUGCCUUCUAAAUAUUAGGUUAAUUUCAAAACAUGAAGGUAACAGUGGGAUAUCCCGGUUACAAGUGUCUAUGGACCAUGUCCUUAAUCUUUUAAGAGAGGUUGGUAUCCUGUUUGUUCGAGAGGUGUCUGAGAGGGAGGAUCGUGUUGAUAGCUUAAAUUUAAAAUGAUGUGUCACUUUUAUUUUGAAAUAUUUUUUCUUUUUCACAUAAACUAAGAUAGCCUUGCCUGAGGUUAUGUACUUAUGUGCUCAUGCUACAACAAAAUGUAAUGUAUUAUUUUUUGUUGUUUCUAUACAUAACUGGAUCUUUUACUCUUAUGAAAUACUAGAGAUGUUUGGUUCAGUUGGUAUUAUAUGUGUUACUCUGUUUUUAUGUUUUAUUGUCUAUCACAGGUAUUCUCAUUCACCGUCCUAGGGUUAUAUUUGAAUUAUUAUGGGGCUAUUUAGCCCCAGAGGGGGGUUAUGUGGGAGAAAUUGGUUAUGUGGGAGAGAUUAUAUUCAUGAUUAUAGUAACACAAGAGAGAUACACUUAUGGGUUCAUUUCCUGUUCUGGUAAAAUACAUUGUCUAUUGUAUAGGACAGGAAGCCAGAGUGGGGCCAUGGGAGAGGGCAACACAUAGACGCCUAGGGCAGCUGGACAUACAAAGGUCAGAGGUUGUCUAAGGAGGGGGUCAGCCAAAGGACCAACUGAUGGAUUACAGACAUCAAUCACAUCACAGGAGACAAGUCUGUUUGAUCUUAGACAACCAUAUGAAGAGAAGGCGACCAGAACAGCUGGGCACCCUAAAGCUAAAGGAGAUGAAAGACACAUACAAAAGACACACAGAGUUAAUUACAGAGAUAAAGCAAGCCUAUAGCAUAGAGAAAUGUAUAGUAUUUUUAGUAUAGCUGAGCAUGCUAAAAACAGAAGAGACACAUAGUCUGCUGACCCUAGAUAACACACAAACAGGAGAAUGCAUUAAGCUGAGUGAAGGGUCAAAGCAAGGGUCUUGUCACCAUUAGGAUCUAAUGGAAAGCAGAUGGGGGCGUUAUUGGGCUGAACAAGCAGGAAGCAUGGAUUGGGAUGUAACUUAAUUUGCAUAUGGGAGGGACUUAUAUGGUAGGUGUAUAACUCAGGGCGAGGGCUCUGAAAAAGGGUGUGUGUUUCGCGGACCGCUCCGGCUUAUGAUACUGUUGUAUUAAAAGUCUAUAUUGAUUUUCACAAA